rnacentral:rRNA from 1 species
AUUGAACGCUGGCGGCAGGCCUAACACAUGCAAGUCGAACGGUAACAGGAAGCAGCUUGCUGCUUUGCUGACGAGUGGCGGACGGGUGAGUAAUGUCUGGGAAACUUCCUGAUGGAGGGGGAUAACUACUGGAAACGGUAGCUAAUACCGCAUAACGUCGCAAGACCAAAGAGGGGGACCUUCGGGCCUCUUGCCAUCGGAUGUGCCCAGAUGGGAUUAGCUAGUAGGUGGGGUAACAGCUCACCUAGGCGACGAUCCCUAGCUGGUCUGAGAGGAUGACCAGCCACACUGGAACUGAGACACGGUCCAGACUCCUACGGGAGGCAGCAGUGGGGAAUAUUGCACAAUGGGCGAAAGCCUGAUGCAGCCAUGCCGCGUGUAUGAAGAAGGCCUUCGGGUUGUAAAGUACUUUCAGCGGGGAGGAAGGGAGUAAAGUUAAUACCUUUGCUCAUUGACGUUACCCGCAGAAGAAGCACCGGCUAACUCCGUG